UUUGUCAUGUAUAGCAGGGAGAUAGGCAAAGGCCAUGUGCUUGCUGAGCUAUGAAAGCAUUCUGUGUGUUUGGAAUGAAGAUUGCUCGAGACUUCUCGGCUCACCUGAGAGCCAGGAAAACCCAGUAGUGGUGGUGCCUGCGUUGUCUGCCCAGUGAAGUGUAGGCACAGCCCCCAAACCCAAUAUUCUUGGAGGAGUAAACUGUGAAGAAAAAGAGCGAGUUACAUGCUCAAAGCCCAAGAAAUUAUAUGCUUGCUAUUCAGAAGGAUGUUUUGCAAGCCUGGAAAGUGGUUUUGGAAAUGCCGAAUAUGUGCUCACUCAGUGUUAUGAAGAAUGAAAUACCACGUCUCCUUCUGCAACCAGCACAAAACCACAUCAACGCUGAAUUCUGCUCUGCCUUAUUAGCUGAAAUGUGAUCUUGUGUUCACAGCUGAUCUGGUUCACACUUAUGAUUCUGAAUGACCUCGUUCCAUACAGAUCCACUACAAUGACUAUAGCCACAUAAAAAAUGGUCUGUUAAAAUAUGAAUCAUUCACCAAAAGACAGAAAAGUAUAAAAAAAACCCAAAUAAAUACAAGCAUUGCAAAAUACAGGUAGAUACUGUGCUUGCAUGUAUGCUUUCUUUUAUGUCAAAAGGAAAAAGAAUGGAAAUAGAAAUUUAUAAAGAAUGAGAGAGCUUUAAAAUCAAAUACUAAGCAAAGAUUUUUUUCUCCACUGAUA